AGUCCCUCGCCCCCUAUCCAAAGUUCCAAACCCUUGGACACGGCACCGCCGCCGCCGCAUUUGAUUCGCCGGCCACCGCGGUCCUGUGCCCUCGCCGUCACCGGGCACAGCUCCGACUCCCUGGCAGCCUGCAGCCCUCCCCCUCCGCCUUGCUGUACGCGCCGCCUCACGUCUUGGCCUCCCCCAAAAUCAAUCGGGGCGGCGUAGAAGAUGAGGUGAGGAUUCCGGGAUCUUUGCUCUUUCGCAACAGCGCCCCUGCACCCGCGUCCUACAUGUGCGGCCACCACCAGCAACAGCAGCAGCAUCGCGUCACUGGAUGCCGCUGAGUUCAACCACGCCCGUCGAGUCAACUCCUUCGGGUAUUUCAUUCUGUGGCCCUUCACAUCAUGAAAGAGGGAUAUUCAGUAGAUUUCUGGGAGCUCCAUGACUUCACAUCUUGACAUGCAUAUACCGUUUUAGAUUUCAAGAAAGAUUGCAUUUUUUUACGGGAUAUUAUGUCCACAAUCUAGAUCUGUGUUCAGUACUUUAUGUGUUAGUAGUACUGCCUCCAUUGUCCAUUUAGCCAAGAACUGAUCCUACUUCCUUGCAAUGUAUAUUUCAAUAUUUGUACUCCUUAGAGAUGUUCUUCAUCUUCCUUUAGAUGAGUAAACAGAUGCUGAAGGGUCAUGAAGGAGUGCAAGUCGAGAUUAUUGGUAGGCUGCCAACACUGUUUGGCUUGGUUCGUUCUGAAAUGGCUCCAGAUCAUCCGAAAACAAAGGGAUUUUCUGUCAGACAUGAUUGUACUAUGGGGAAGCUAAAGAUAGCGAGCUUUGACAAUUACCUGUCAGAAAAGAUCAUUCUCAUGUGUUUCAGUAGCUCAGGGAUAAAGUUAGGUUGGUCUGUUGGUGGCAUCAUCUUAUGACCUGUUGUUUGCUGCCACCGACGUGUAGCAGAUUUCAAAGGAAGGCGGCUCUCUAUGGAGCUAAGGGCAGAUGAAAAGAUUUUAGAGGGAUGAGAUUAUGAGAGACCAUGUGAAGCACUAAGAUAAAGAGCUUAAAUCUAAGAUGAAGCCUACAUCUUCAACUAAAUUUUCUGGAUCAAACAUUGAGAAGGAUGUUGUUGAGUGGUAGCACUAAAUCACUGACAUUUCAAAGAAGUUAUCCCUAUGCAGGUGUGCUAGAGAAGAUUUACCCUAUCUGUUCUAUAUAUAUGACUUGACUACAAAAGGAGUCGACUUGUGAAAAUGAUCUUCUAGAAGUACAUCAUGAGCCAACGUUUGAUUGUCUCUGAUGAAACUGACAACCUGCAAAGUCAAAUUUUGAGAGAUAGAAGCAGGAAGAAGUACAGCUUGAGAUUAUACUCGCAAGGCACUAAAAGCUUAUCGGCAAGCUGUCUCAACGAAAAUGGCAGAUCAGGAAGCUCUACUUUGCCCGGUGUAGUUAAAGUCAUUUUGCAAAAACAUUCAUUUCUGAUGGAGCAGUGGCAGGACCAAAGCGGGGAAUAAUGGUGAAUGGAAGGAACAGCUUUAUUAUGCACAUUGGAGCACACACAGUGUUGAAUGAGGGACAAGGAGAUUCGACUUGAUACCUCUCCACCACUAUGGGUUUGUUGACAGGUAAUUUCUUGGAAAGCUAAAAGUAGAAUCAGUAUUAGGAUUGCCACACAUAUCUGGAACUCUGUUUUUUUUUUCUGACAUUUGUCUACACUAACGUUGUAGAUGUCAUUGGUCAAGCAUUAGACGUUUUGGGCAUACAAGAGGUCCCAAAAGAAUUAUGCAUGACAGAAUUUUGUAGCUUACAGAUUGA